GACGAACGCUGGCGGCGUGCUUAACACAUGCAAGUCGAACGGAAAGGCCCUGCUUUUGUGGGGUGCUCGAGUGGCGAACGGGUGAGUAACACGUGAGUAACCUGCCCUUGACUUUGGGAUAACUUCAGGAAACUGGGGCUAAUACCGGAUAGGAGCUCCUGCUGCAUGGUGGGGGUUGGAAAGUUUCGGCGGUUGGGGCUGGACUCGCGGCUUAUCAGCUUGUUGGUGGGGUAGUGGCUUACCAAGGCUUUGACGGGUAGCUGGCCUGGGAGGGUGACCGGCCACAUUGGGACUGAGAGACGGCCCAGACUCCUACGGGAGGCAGCAGUGGGGAAUAUGGCACAAUGGGCGGAAGCCUGAUGCAGCAACGCCGCGUGCGGGAUGACGGCCUUCGGGUUGUAAACCGCUUUCGCCUGUGACGAAGCGUGAGUGACGGUAAUGGGUAAAGAAGCACCGGCUAACUACGUG
rnacentral:rRNA from 1 species